GCGGAUGUGGCGGAAUUGGUAGACGCCCUGGAUUUAGGUUCCAGUGCCGAAAGGCGUGGGGGUUCGAGUCCCUUCAUCCGCA
rfam:Mesorhizobium metallidurans STM 2683, WGS project CATM01000000 data, contig: ANX_1634_Contig_55